rnacentral:rRNA from 1 species
UACAGAGGGGGCAAGCGUUGUUCGGAAUUACUGGGCGUAAAGGGCUCGUAGGCGGCCAACUAAGUCAUACGUGAAAUCCCUCAGCUUAACUGGGGAACUGCGUGUGAUACUGGAUGGCUUGGAUUCGGGAGAGGGAUGCGGAAUUCCAGGUGUAGCGGUGAAAUGCGUAGAUAUCUGGAGGAACACCGGUGGCGAAGGCGGCAUCCUGGACCGAUAUUGACGCUGAGGAGCGAAAGCCAGGGGAGCAAACGGG